rnacentral:rRNA from 1 species
CACGUAGGGCGCGAGCGUUGUCCGGAAUUAUUGGGCGUAAAGAGCUCGUAGGCGGCCUGUUGCGUCCGCUGUGAAAGCCCGGGGCUUAACCCCGGGUCUGCAGUGGAUACGGGCAGGCUAGAGGUAGGUAGGGAGAAUGGAAUUCCCGGUGUAGCGGUGAAAUGCGCAGAUAUCAGGAGGAACACCAAUGGCGAAGGCAGAUCUCUGGGCCGUAACUGACGCUGGAGGAGCGAAAGCAUGGGGAGCGAACAGG